UCCUGGCUCAGGAAUGAACGCUGGCGGCGUGCCUAACACAUGCAAGUCGAACGAAGCACAUACGACAGAACUCUUCGGAGGGAAGAUGUAUGUGACUGAGUGGCGGACGGGUGAGUAACGCGUGGGUAACCUGCCCUAUACAGGGGGACAACAGUUGGAAACGACUGCUAAUACCGCAUAAGCGCACAGUACCGCAUGGUACAGAGCGAAAAAACUCCGGUGGUAUAGGAUGGGCCCGCGUCUGAUUAGUUAGUUGGCGGUGUAACGGACCACCAAGACGACGAUCAGUAGCCGGCUUGAGAGAGUGAACGGCCACAUUGGGACUGAGACACGGCCCAAACUCCUACGGGAGGCAGCAGUGGGGAAUAUUGCACAAUGGGGGAAACCCUGAUGCAGCAACGCCGCGUGAGUGAAGAAGUAUUUCGGUAUGUAAAGCUCUAUCAGCAGGGAAGAAAAUGACGGUACCUGACUAAGAAGCCCCGGCUAACUACGUG
rnacentral:rRNA from 1 species